GACGAACGCUGGCGGCGUGCCUAAUACAUGCAAGUAGAACGCUGAAGGAGGAGCUUGCUUCUCUGGAUGAGUUGCGAACGGGUGAGUAACGCGUAGGUAACCUGCCUGGUAGCGGGGGAUAACUAUUGGAAACGAUAGCUAAUACCGCAUAACAGUAGAUGUUGCAUGACAUUUGCUUAAAAGGUGCAAUUGCAUCACUACCAGAUGGACCUGCGUUGUAUUAGCUAGUUGGUGAGGUAACGGCUCACCAAGGCGACGAUACAUAGCCGACCUGAGAGGGUGAUCGGCCACACUGGGACUGAGACACGGCCCAGACUCCUACGGGAGGCAGCAGUAGGGAAUCUUCGGCAAUGGACGGAAGUCUGACCGAGCAACGCCGCGUGAGUGAAGAAGGUUUUCGGAUCGUAAAGCUCUGUUGUAAGAGAAGAACGAGUGUGAGAGUGGAAAGUUCACACUGUGAC
rnacentral:rRNA from 1 species